AUUGAACGCUGGCGGCAUGCCUAACACAUGCAAGUCGAACGGGGCAGCAAUGCCUAGUGGCGGACGGGUGAGGAAUACGUAGGAAUCUGCCCUUAAGUGGGGGAUAACCAGGGGAAACCCUGACUAAUACCGCAUGAUCUCUUCGGAGCAAAGAGGGGGACCGCAAGGCCUCUCGCUUCUGGAUGAGCCCACGUCUGAUUAGCUAGUUGGUAGGGUCAAGGCCUACCAAGGCGACGAUCAGUAACUGGUCUGAGAGGAUGAUCAGUCACACCGGAACGGGGACACGGUCCGGACUCCUACGGGAGGCAGCAGUGGGGAAUAUUGGACAAUGGGCGCAAGCCUGAUCCAGCAAUGCCGCGUGUGUGAAGAAGGCCUUCGGGUUGUAAAGCACUUUAGCCUGGAAAGAAAAAACUUUGGUUAACACCCAAAGUCUUGACGGUACCAGGAGAAUAAGCACCGGCUAACUCUGUGCCAGCCGCCGCGGUAACAC
rnacentral:rRNA from 1 species